rnacentral:rRNA from 1 species
CACGUAGGGCGCGAGCGUUGUCCGGAAUUAUUGGGCGUAAAGAGCUCGUAGGCGGCCUGUUGCGUCCGCUGUGAAAGCCCGGGGCUUAACCCCGGGUCUGCAGUGGAUACGGGCAGGCUAGAGGUAGGUAGGGGAGAAUGGAAUUCCCGGUGUAGCGGUGAAAUGCGCAGAUAUCGGGAGGAACACCGGUGGCGAAGGCGGUUCUCUGGGCCUUACCUGACGCUGAGGAGCGAAGCGUGGGGAGCGAACAGG